ensembl:lncRNA
CUUCAAAAUUACAUUUCCAAGAAUAAUCUUGGAACAAGACGAGUUUUUGUUCAAUUAAUUGUGGCUGGAAACUUUUUAAUGGAAACCUAGCACACACUUACUUCAUUUCGGGUUAUUAAAUUGCGUGAAGCGUUCAAGUUAGUUGCCAUUCUUUGCUGUAGCUCAUUUGUUCUUUUCGAUCCAAAGAAAUAUUAGACGGUUAAAACUCAUCACAUAGGAGGGAUUAAUCAUGCUACCAAAAUUAGAAAACAUGUAGUUCUGAGAGACUGAAUGUCAAAAUUGUAUGCUCAUAGCACUUCAACGAUUGGGACUCGAGGAUCCCACUACAAUAUUUAAAAUGGCAGCUAAGGAAACCCUGAGGUGUUUAGGAGUGGGCUAAAGCUAGAGUUCUCUUACUCUGAUUACAGUAAGGACAUUUAUCCUUUAUGUGAAUUUUUUAGAUUCACUUCUUUAUUGAUGCUUCAAGAACAAUUCUUUUUGAAGGAAAAGAAAGAGUCAGGCGGUGUUCAUUGAUUCAUCUGACGUCAAUAUAGUAGUCAAGAUAUAUAAAGCAGCCCAAGGAGUAAUGUGCUUAGCCAUGGCAUUCAGAGUUUCUGCUUUAAUAAUUAUGAUUCCUUCAAUGGUGUUAAAAAGAAUUGUACAAAGUACCUGUUCUCCUGUAUUAUUGCCGUUUACAAGAGUUGGGUGUGACUAGAAAAAUAAAUCUAGGUCAAAAUCAAAAGUGCUUUGUAAAAUAAACAAAGUUCUUAUUUACUUACUAUGUAUAAACAGCCACUCACCAAGCCUCAUUUCUCCACAGGGCACCACUUUCAGAUAAAAACAUAGACCUGAAUGGCAUCAUCCAGUAUCCAAGGAAACCAUGUAGGUGUGUGCUUGGUGUCUACACAGAUGCUUGGACACAGAGAAGCAAAAUAUGGAGAGAUGGGGUCCGCACCUCAGGCUGAGUGUUCACCUUCUCUGGAACGAGAAACUGUCACCGCUAAGGAAUACUGUCACCGCUAAAGAACACCACACUGUCCAGUAUGGGGGCUGAUCAGAGAGACUGUUCAUGAGGCUUCCUAGACGUAUCCUCGGUUCCUUCAGAAUCUUCCAACAUACACCUUCCUCAGGUAUCUGUCACUAUCUGUGGAUUCACUGUGGAACUCCCUGAAGGUAAUGCGUGUUCUUUGUAUAUUAGUAUUUAUAAAGUGUAGUUUUAGUACUUGACCCUCAGUAGCAGCUCGCUAAGUAUUUGUUGAACAAAUCAAUGAUUGGAAACUGUUGUUAGGCCUCAGUUAGCUUGGAAUAGGUUACUUAGUAAUUUGCCUCUUGGGAUAUGCAGAGCCAAGGUAGUGAUCUGUGUCUAAAUGGACUAGAUUUCUUGUUUGUAUAUGUGAACUGUAAAAACCAAGGUGCAUAAUCUAUAAACCAACUUAAGUUGAUCUCUGGGAUAAGAAGACCCUAAAAAUGUUCUACUACUCCUGAUAGUGAUAGUGGUAGAGAUGAGGAACCAUUAAUCGCAAUUAUGGAUGUUAAAAUGAAGAUGUGAAUCAUGGUGCUAUGGAAAAAUUAAUGUAAGUAUUUCCCAUUCAUGGGACUUCCUUGGCACUCCAGUGGUUAAGACUAUGCUUCUACUUUCGGGGGCGUGGGUUCAGUCUUUGGUCUGGGAACUA